rnacentral:tRNA from 1 species
UCCCUUGUAGCUCAGUCGGUAAAGCAUUUGCCUGCAGUGCAGGAGACCCAGGUUUGAUCCCUGGGUGGGGAA